rnacentral:rRNA from 1 species
AUGAACGCUGGCGGCGUGCCUAAUACAUACAAGUCGAGCGAACGGACGAGAAGCUUGCUUCUCUGAUGUUAGCGGCGGACGGGUGAGUAACACGUGGAUAACCUACCUAUAAGACUGGGAUAACUUCGGGAAACCGGAGCUAAUACCGGAUAAUAUUUUGAACCGCAUGGUUCAAAAGUGAAAGACGGUCUUGCUGUCACUUAUAGAUGGAUCCGCGCUGCAUUAGCUAGUUGGUAAGGUAACGGCUUACCAAGGCAACGAUGCAUAGCCGACCUGAGAGGGUGAUCGGCCACACUGGAACUGAGACACGGUCCAGACUCCUACGGGAGGCAGCAGUAGGGAAUCUUCCGCAAUGGGCGAAAGCCUGACGGAGCAACGCCGCGUGAGUGAUGAAGGUCUUCGGAUCGUAAAACUCUGUUAUUAGGGAAGAACAUAUGUGUAAGUAACUGUGCACAUCUUGACGGUACCUAAUCAGAAAGCCACGGCUAACUACGUG